CCGCCCGUAGCAUAGCUGGAUAAUGCAGCAGAUUCCGAUUCUGAAGACCGGGGGUUCGAAUCCCUUCGGGCGGGCCA
rnacentral:tRNA from 1 species